AGCUUUGCGCAGGGGCAGCAUCGUAGCCAAUGAGGUUUAUCCGAGGCGCGAUUAUUGCUAAUUAAAAACUUCCUAAGCGCGUGACUUCUCAUAUGUGAGAGAUUGACUUCUUACGUAAGAGCUCUUUU
rfam:Tupaia chinensis contig192413, whole genome shotgun sequence.